rnacentral:rRNA from 1 species
CCUGGCUCAGGAUGAACGCUAGCGACAGGCCUAACACAUGCAAGUCAGGGGCAGCACAAGGAGCAAUCUGAGGUGGCGACCGGCGCACGGGUGAGUAACACGUAUGCAACCUGCCUGUAAGCGGGGAAUAACCCGUUGAAAGACGGACUAAUACCGCAUAAUACUAAAUUACUGCAUGGUAAUUUAUUUAAACAUUUAUGGCUUACAGAUGGGCAUGCGCAUGAUUAGCUAGUUGGAGAGGUAACGGCUCCCCAAGGCAACGAUCAUUAGGGGUUCUGAGAGGAAGGUCCCCCACACUGGUACUGAGACACGGACCAGACUCCUACGGGAGGCAGCAGUGAGGAAUAUUGGUCAAUGGACGAGAGUCUGAACCAGCCAAGUCGCGUGCAGGAAGAAUGUCCUAUGGAUUGUAAACUGCUUUUGCAGGGGAAUAAAGUGCAUCACGUGUGAUGUUUUGUAUGUACUCUGCGAAUAAGGAUCGGCUAACUCCGUGCCAGCCGCCGC